rnacentral:rRNA from 1 species
GACAGAGGAUGCAAGCGUUAUCCGGAAUGAUUGGGCGUAAAGCGUCUGUAGGUGGCUUUCUAAGUCCGCCGUCAAAUCCCAGGGCUCAACCCUGGACAGGCGGUGGAAACUACCAAGCUGGAGUACGGUAGGGGCAGAGGGAUUCCGGUGGAGCGGUGAAAUGCGUAGAGAUCGGAAAGAACACCAACGGCGAAGCACUCUGCUGGGCCGACACUGACACUGAGAGACGAAAGCUAGGGGAGCGAAUGGGAUUAGAACCGGUACCGACUAGACC